UUGGUGGAGGCAAGAGCCCGGAGAUGGAAUCUGAGACACGAUUCCAGGCCCUACGGGCGCAGCAGGCGCUGAAACUUUACAAUGCAGGAAACUGUGAUAAGGGAACCCCCGAGUGCCCGUACACCGCGGGCUGUCCCGGUGUUUAAAACACAUCGGGAAGAAAGGGCCGGGCAAGACCGGUGCCAGCCGCCGCGGUAUUACCGGCGGCUCGAGUGGUGACCACUUUUAUUGGGCUUUAAGCGUUCGUAGCUUGAUUUUUAAGUCUCUUGGGAAAUCUCACGGCUUAACUGUGAGGCGUCUAAGAGAUACUGGGAAUCUAGGGACCGGGAGAGGUAAGAGGUACUUCAGGGGUAGAAGUGAAAUUCUGUAAUCCUUGAGGGACCACCGAUGGCGAAGGCAUCUUACCAGAACGGCUUCGACAGUGAGGAACGAAAGCUGGGGGAGCGAACGGGAUUAGAUACCCCGGUAGUCCCAGCCGUAUAAUCUAUGCGCGUUAGGUGUGCCUGUAACUACGAGUUACCGGGGUGCCGAAGUGGAAAACGGUUGAAACGUGCCGCCUGGGGAAGUUACGGUCGUCAAGGCUGAAACUUAAAGGAAUUGGCGGGGGAGCA
rnacentral:rRNA from 1 species